GUGCCCUCAUCUUUGACCUCUAAAGCAAGUGCGCCUGCUCCCCCUCUCCCCUUGUGCUCAUCCCCUCAUCCUUUCCGUUUGGAUUUCGCGUGUGUGUGUGUGUGUUGGAGGUGCGUGUGCGUUUUGGCGCUUUUGUUUCGCGCGUGCCCACCCCCUAACUGGCUGUGUGUUCCGGUUCCUCGAUCAUCGCCGCAGCGCGUCGUCUCUCUCUCUCUCUUUCUCGUCUCUUGUUUGCUGUCCUUGACUCCUUUUUUCAUCUUCCUCGCCCCUUCCACGCCUUCUUCUUGUCGAGUUCAGCGCCAGAUCAUUGGGGCCCUUCGUUUCCCAAGUUUUCAGCAAGUACUGUUGUGAAGGGUGACAAAAGGCGAACGACGGAAACAGCUGAACGGGGUCGUGUUAGACUCAAACAAAAAGGCAGAGAGAGAACAAGAGACAGAGCACCGCCGCGCCUCAGAGGCAACGGGUCAAAAGGGGAACCAGUAAACAACACACAGCGGAAUGCCAGGUGCGCACUUACGUGCUAAGUCGCGUUGGUAGUCUCCGGUGUGUGCUUGUGUGAUUCUCAGCCGCCCGCUUCUCUCUCCCCUCCCUCGCGCACGUUCUUUCUUGGCUUCUCUACCUCCCUCCUCUCUUUCUCCUUUUGUUUCGGCUUUCUUUUCCUUAUUGUAG
rnacentral:misc_RNA from 1 species